rnacentral:rRNA from 1 species
GGCCUAACACAUGCAAGUCGAACGGUAAGUUAAGAGCUUGCUCUUAACACGAGUGGCGAACGGGUGCGUAACGCGUAUGCAAUCUACCCUUUUCUGGAAGAUAGCCCUUAGAAAUGAGGAUUAAUACUCCAUAGUAUAACAAUUUCGCAUGUUAUUGUUAUUAAAGCUUCGGCGGAAAAGGAUGAGCAUGCGUCCCAUUAGUUAGUUGGUAGGGUAACGGCCUACCAAGACUCCGAUGGGUAGGGGGCCUGAGAGGGUUAUCCCCCACACUGGUACUGAGACACGGACCAGACUCCUACGGGAGGCAGCAGUGAGGAAUAUUGGUCAAUGGAGGCAACUCUGAACCAGCCAUGCCGCGUGCAGGAUGACUGCCCUAUGGGUUGUAAACUGCUUUUAUGUAGGAAGAAACCUCAGUACGUGUACUGAGCUGACGGUACUACACGAAUAAGGACCGGCUAACUCCGUGCCAGCAGCCGCGGUAAUACGGAGGGUCCAAGCGUUAUCCGGAUUUAUUGGGUUUAAAGGGUACGUAGGCGGAAGAUUAAGUCAGUAGUGAAAGCCCAUCGCUCAACGAUGGAACUGCUAUUGAUACUGGUUUUCUUGAAUAUACUUGAAGUAGGCGGAAUACGACAUGUAGCGGUGAAAUGCAUAGAUAUGUCGUAGAACACCGAUUGCGAAGGCAGCUUACUAAGGUAUUAUUGACGCUAAUGUACGAAAGCGUGGGGAGCGAACAGGAUUAGAUACCCUGGUAGUCCACGCCGUAAACGA